UACAGAGGUCUCAAGCGUUGUUCGGAUUCAUUGGGCGUAAAGGGUGUGUAGGUGGCGCGCUAAGUCGGGUGUGAAAUUUCGGAGCUUAACUCCGAAACUGCAUUCGAUACUGGCGUGCUUGAGGACUGGAGAGGAGACUGGAAUUUACGGUGUAGCAGUGAAAUGCGUAGAUAUGCGGAGGAACACCGAUGGCGAAGGCAAU
rnacentral:rRNA from 1 species